ensembl:lncRNA
UCAAAAUAUAUUUUCUUUCUUUCUUUUUUCCCCCUUGCCACUGUUUCUGCAUUGUUCAGGAAUGUGAAGACCUAAAAAAGGAAAACAAGUAUCUGUCUAACGAAAUGCACAUGGAAAGGAUCAUGAUGAGGACUGAGAGUGAGCAUACCAUGAGAAACCUGCGCAAUCUCAACCAGGAACUCCAGGCCCAAAUUAAAGAGGUGUGUACAUUACACAUCUGACAUCACAGAAGAUACAGAGGAACAAAAAAUAAUGUUUUUGUCCCUUUUUUCUUUAUAAUAAUUAGUUGAAACAGAAGCUUCAUGUCAGCCAGCAGAGGGCGACACUGUGUUCCAGGGCAGCUGAGGAUGCUGAUAGAGGACGAGCAGAGGCGGACAAGAGCAGGGCACUGGCGGAGGCCAGGGCUCUGGACAGCAGGCAAGAAAAAGAUCUCGCAGUAGCUGACAAAACACGACUCAGCGAAGAACUACAUCUGCUGAAAAAAGAGCACAAUGAUGUCCAGCUACUUUUAGCUCAAGCCGAAAAGAAUUACUUUGAGACCAAGCUUAAACUAGACAGGGUGUCAGGAGAAAAGCAGGCUCUCCUGGAGGAGAACAGAAUACUGGAGGAUGAGAGGAACACGUUACGACACAAACUGAAGGAGCUAACUGAGGAGAAUGUGAAGAUAAUGGAAAAGGAGGUGAACUCCAGACGCAGAGCUCAGGUUGCUGAAGAGCAGAGAGAAAGGGCCGAUAAAGCCCAGCGGGAAGCUGAGCAGGAAAGGCAUUUAGCUGAGCGGGAGAGGGAAGAUCGCACCAGGGAGUGUCUCAGCUGGAGAGAGAAGCACCAGGCUCUGGCAGAAGUCAUCAGAGCCCAGGAAGAACUUAAGUCUCUCAGGCAGACCAAAGCAUGUCAAGCUAAUAUUAAGAGCUACUUCCUGUGUAUGACUGAAAGCGACCAGAGGGUUAAGAUACUAAAAAAUAGAGAUGGCACACCAAGGAAUUUCACGGAAGGAGACCCUGUGUACAUCUCCACACCUGACCUCAACGGUGAGGAUUCAGAGAAGAGUUCAGGGAGCAGGACGAUGUUUAGGGUGGCUGCACCUCGAGUUGGACGGGACACCAGCCCAGCACACUUCAGUGAGCUGUCACCAAUGGCAGAUACCCAUGAUUCUGGAUUUUCAAGGAGAAACAGGAAAGUGGAAUAUUUCAGGAUCCCCACUGAUGAGGAAUAA